rnacentral:pre_miRNA from 1 species
UCAACAUUCGGACCGUCGGUCUACCGAGUAAAUAUGGAAGAUCGGUGGAACAUCUUCCCUGUGUCGU